GACAAAUUAAAAUGACAAAUAAAAAACUUAUGCUAUAUUUUGUCAUGAAGUUUAUGAGUUUAAUGUUAUAAGUCGAUGUUUUCCCUCUCUUAAAAUCCUAUUGACUGGAUGCACUAAUUUGGUGAAAUCUGUAAAUAUAAUUGGGGAUAUAUAUUGCCUAUAAGUUGCUCAUUUAAAUUGCUUGCUUAAGAUGAGUGUUGUUAGUCCAAUUUGAAGUUUUAACUAACUCUCUUUUGUGGAUUUUUCUUCAUACUAAAGGCAAGGAACUGCUUGAGUAAAUUUGAGGCAGUAUAGAUCUUUCUUCUUAACUGCUGCUCAAAUGGCUAUAAGAGGUGCGAACUUUGCAAGAAAAUUAUCGCAAGGAAAGAAUUGCAUGCAUAAGUUAAAAUGAAAGCUUGAUCAGGUUGAAAUAUAUUUUGAGGCAAAAAUUACCUUUAAGUGAUCAACGCUGGUAAGUUUUUAAUUAGUGUAUUUUAAUUACUUUGUGUUGUUUCAUUCUCAUAAUCUUGGGACAUAGUUAAUUUUUGAAAGGUGUAUCUUAGAGUGAAAAUACUUAUAUUGAUUUAUCUUUAUAGUCUUUACAUCGUUUCAACAGCUCUAUUGUAUAUACCGCUGUCAAAAAACAAAUACAUGUGCAUUUUAGUAUACAAUGACAAAUUAAAAUGAUUAAUAAAAAACUUAUGCUAUUAUCAUUAAGUUUCUUUGUUCUAGUGCAUCCACCAUUUAGCGUGACUGGUAGCAUGAAUAGCUUGGAUGUACAUUCUUAAUUUGUUUUAUGUUUUGAGGAAAGAAAAAUAUCAGUCAUAACUACAAAUUAAAAGGCUUUAUUGAUUCUUGUUGCUAAUUGUUAUUGUUGGCUUUUUGUGCUUACAUUAAGGUAUUGUUUGUUGGCUGCUUGUGGUAUAUAAUGGUCGGUUUGAGCUUAAUGACAGAUAGCUUUCUUUGGUACUCAAUUCUGGUAUGCGUUCUUUUGGUUUAUGUUUUUUAGGUGGGCAGUGAUGAUGAUAACAAACUGAGAAUGCAUCCUAUUUUAAUUAAUUAUGUAAUGUUUAGGCGAGGCAAUUAUGUGUGGAAUGCAAGCUACAUUGAUAUUACAAUGUUUGGGUGAUGUAAUCCCUCAUAAUAGCAGCCUACAUUGCAUCAUAGUUUUAUAGGAGAGGCAAUCUUUUAUGACCAGACUAUUUUUUUCCUGAGCCCUAGUAAGUCCUCAUAGAUUUUGGUGAUGAAUUCGAGCUUGUUUAGCUCUAUUUUUCAUAUAACCACACCGAGUGUGUCAAAGCGAUUUUCAUAUAGAAAGUCACUAUGGUAUUAAGCUUUUCUGAACUGGAUCUGAAGACCAAAAUAAAGUCAUCAGGCUUGUGCACAAAAACUUGGUAGCAACUCCAAUAAAAAUUCAGUUUCAGGAGAUAGUGCAAGAAUAUAACUAUGGUGCAGGAAUAUAUAAUUGACAUUAAUUAUAUCCUUUUUAAGAUAUGAGAUACUGCAAGAAUAUAACAACUCAGUUUCAGGAGAUUGACAUAUAUGACAUGUAUCUUUCUUGAUACAUCAAAUCUCAGCUUCCUCCUUGUAGAUCUCUGCCGUUUUUUUGGGCGCGCGUUCGUCUCUGUGUAAGUAAUUGGUUCUCUAACAUUUGUGCUAAUUUGUUGUGGUACUUUCCAUAAUUGAUCUAAUUGGCAACACAAAUUUAUAUAUUCUCAGUUGAUCUAUCUAUUAUUGAAUUCAUUCAUUAGGAAUAUGAGCACAUGCGAGUAUAUAGUUUUACGUUUUUGAAAAAAAAAAUAUAACUACCACCAUAAUCAGAACAUAAUGUAUAAUCAUAAUACUUGCUUAACAUUGGUUCAUAGGUAUUAAACUUUGAUAAGUUCGAUAACUUCAAAUUUUAGGUUUGUACCUGUGAAUCACCUUCAAUAGCUUCGAUAAGUUUUGUAACAGUGUAGUUCUCAUUGCCUGUUUCAUCAUUAUAAAAAUAAAUCUAUGAAAAAUACAUGUAAAGCUUUCUUUAAAUUUGUAGGAUAUUAUUGUGAUAUAUUAGAUAAAUGUAUUAGAUCAUUAAUCAAACAAAAGAAUUGCUUACCUUCUUUGAAGUUAUACUUUGUUAGCUUAACCUGAACUUUUAGUCUUCCCAAUAAUUGAUUUGAUAAUCUCUGGGAAUAUCUCCCUUCCAUUGUUCUGCACAAAAAUCAGGCAUUAGUUACGCAAUUCUUAAUACAUUUAUAUUCUAAUGUGAAGCAGAUUGAUUAUUAAGCACUUCUUAAUACAUUUAUCUUCUAAUGCACAAAAUCUCUGGGAAUAUCUCCCUUUCAUUGUUCCUCCAUCAGUGUUAGUUACAUGCAAAAAUUAAGUACCUUUUUCAGUGUUUUUUUUCAGAUCAUAUGCAGAAAUCUUGAUCAACUUUUCAGCUAGGUAAGUUCUCUGCUAUUUCUUCUAAGUUUUUAUUUCUCUUCUUCUUCUUCGUCUUUUUUCUUUCUGCUGCUUAUUUUUUUUAUGCCAUCCUGUUGUUUUGUAUUGCUUCUGGCCGCUGCUCUCUUCUUGGUUUCCUGGAGCAUCGACAUAUACAACUUCAUAAAUUGUUGCUUCCGAAUCCUUUAUUAUCUCUGAUUGAGUAUUGGAGAAAUUCACAGACGAAGUCACCAACUGUUGAAAAGCAUGAGCUUCUUGAAAUGAGACGGGUUGCUGCCUAUAUAGGAUAGGAGAAAACAAAGCAAAGGAAAUUAACUCAAGAUGGGCAGUGAUGAUGAUAACAAACUGAUGGGGUUCAAAAGCAAAUCUGAGUUUAGUGUUCAAAGCUGCUUUUUUCAACUUCAUUUUCCUCUCAAGGGCUGCAGCUGCUGUUAUUGGCUUCCUUUCCUUUCCUCUCAAGGGCUAGGUAAGUUCUCUGCUAUUUCUUCCAACUUUUUCUCUCUUCUUCUUCGUCUUUUUUCUUGCUGAUGCUUUCUUUUUUUUAUGCCAUCGUGUUGGCUGCUGCUCUCUCCUUGGUUUCCUUUCUUCGUGCCUUUUUUUUGAGUUGAAUGGAGUCCUGGUUGGCUGCUGCUCUGAUUUUGCAUACUGGCGGCAACAGUAAUUUAUCCUGAUGUAGUGAGGGUUGUUUUAUUGAGUGAAGUUUGAAUGUAAACCUAUUAUUAUUAUGAAUUUGGAGGGAGAAUAGAAUAUUUCAUCAGCUUAGAUGUAUUUGAAUUUUGAAUGUUUAAAUUUUGAAGUC